GCCAAAGGCAGGCGCCAAACCACUGUGCCACCCAGGGAUCCCCUGAGGAGCUUCUAAAACAGGAUAAAGCAAAUGAGUGGUUAUGCUUUUGCACUAAGCAGCAGGUAUUUUGGCAAGAACAAAGGAGAAAUGGAUAUCACAUCAGUGAGGCUGUAGUCCGUGGUACUAAAGGGCAUGAGCCAGGUCUGCAAUGGUCAAGGUGGUCAAUGGUUACUAUGGAGCUGAAGCAGGCCUACUGUCGGGGAGAGCAGGACAAGCUAUUCGUUGCUGUGAUGAGCAAUUUCCCAUAGUGUGCUAUCGAUAUGGAUGAUGUACAUUCCUACCUAGCAUGUGGCAGUUAGAGCUCCGGCUCACCUGAGUUAGAGGGUCUAGAGCACCUGGUUUCUGCGAGGCCCUCAAGACAUGCUUGUCAAUGGGAUGAAACUGCCCACCUACCUAGAUGAAGGCUGCAGUCACAAACCAGACAGUGCCCUUUUCAUGUACCCAGUGGGGUGAGGUCUGCUCACCAUGCAGCAAUGAUCUCUCUAGACAUUACUGGCAUGGAGUGUUUUCACCAUAAAGGAGGCAUCUUUUAAUUAGGGACAGCUGUGCUGCACUAUUCCAUCUGGUGACUGGGAAACAUAUGAGUCCUGGGUCCAGACCUCCAAUUUACUUUACAUUUCCAUUCCUGCUCCUGUCCUGAUCUUCUCCCUUUCUUGCAACAUGUUAGA